CCAGCAUUUUUUGGGCCAGCCUGGAUACUGAAAUAGCAAAGUUUAAUAUCAUGAGGAUCAGGGAGAGCCCUGCCCACCUCACAACCACCCAGGUUCUGCCAUUAGCCCUGGGAAUCCUGUGCUACCAGGUUGAGUGUGGCCAGGGGAACCCAGGCCAGUUCCAGCUUGGGCAGGUCUCAGCCUCCUCACCUCUGACCCCAAGGCCCAGGUACUUCCCUUUCUUACCAGCUGUGCCUUUGGCUAGGGCAGGGAGGAGGUUUAGGGAGGUCCUAGAGAAUUUGGGUCCAGCUGUGGGGAUGGGGGGACCCCAACACACCCCUGGCUCCAGUGCCAGUAGAUACAGAACUGAGAACUUUACUGAAGGUGCCACAAAGCCACAGACUACCUAUGAUGGGGAAAAGUUCUUCCAUGUCCCAUGGGCUAGUGACACUGCAUCUUGUCACACAUAGUGAUGCACACAGGUGGAGCCACACCCAUGUCCCUGGGAGGGCCAGGCAUAUGAGAAUGCCUAUAUGGUCACAUGAGCAUCUCACAUGUGCCAUCAUUCCACAAGCCUUAUCCACUGUGACCAAAACAGCUGAAUCAUUACAAGCACCAGAUCCCAGACCACACUGAAGCAUGUAGGGUUAAAGGACAGGACACAGGAAGCUGGACUAAAGUACAGGUCAUUUCAAGCUCAAACUAUCCCUAUCCUUGUCGCCAAGGCCACACACAAGACCAUACAGUGUCUGGAAUUGUGGGCACACACAGGUCGACUGGCAGAGGUCCACAUGUAGUCACUUGUCACAGUCCUGGAACCACAUUUCAGCUGGGUGGUGCCAGGACACUGGGAUCUCCAAAUGCUCCUCCCACUGAUGGAACCCAGGCUUAUCUGGACUGAGGAGCAGGCUCCUACGAUGCCUUCCACAGCUCCAGCCAUGGUCAAUCAGUGAGAGGCACCCCGGGUUUCUCUCGCCACUUGUAGCGCCCAGGUUCUUUUGGUGCACGGUCCUGAUCCCUGUCGAGACUCCCCAGGCACCCAAGAUGCCACGGGCCGAGUACCGCUCAGGUCCGGGGCUGUGGCUGUCCCCAAAAGGCGCCAUUCAAAUACUCUUGCUCCUCCCAGUGUUCACUCUGUGGAAGAGACCUGGUGCCAGUUCACCUUUGCACUCUGGCGCCUCCCCUCUCCACCCGUUCGCGCAGUCGCAGCUUCUGGCCUUGGAUUACCGACGCCGCAUCAGGAUGCAAGUCUUCCUCAGCCAGCCUCAAUCUGAAAGGUGGCCGGCUCCCGUGCUACUGGUGGAGGUGGUCGUUGCUCGGCACCAACUGGCUCCUUAUUCCAGAAGUCCCUGUGCUGCUCACUGCUGCAAUGGCCAGGACAAGUAGUAGCUGUGAAUGAGAACUUCUAGAAAGAAGCUGUAUCCACAGAGACUGAUUGAUGAAUUAAAACUGCAGUACUGUGAAGAAACUGGAAUGUUACAGGAACUGGAUGACCAAGGAAAAAAGGUCUCCAUAUACUACCAGGACACUUACACAUGAACUUGAAACGAGGUGUCUCCCUGCUGUACUGGAGCUCCCUAUUUAGACCAGGCUGAACUUGUGGAAAUCCUGCUGCCUCUGCCUCCCAAAUACUGGAACUAAAGUUGUGCACCAUCACACUAGCUUCUUAAUCAUACGUUGAAGAUAAGAGGAAUUAAAAUGAAUAAAGAUGAUUUAGAUCAAUACAUAGACACUACUAUUGAGCACAAUCCAUGGUUUACUAUAAAAUGAAAACAUGAGCAAGGUGAAUGAUUCCUGUAAAAUUGUUUAGAAUUUGGAAUGCUGAUGGUUUGGAGGCCCUGUGAGAUAAAUCUAAGAUACCCUCCAGGGAUCAACAAACUGCUAGGAAAAUUAAAAUUCCUUGUCCUCCCUCAGCAGCCCAGCAUGAAGUCUUUAGUUCAGAAAAAAAGUGACCAAGAUAAAAAAAAAAAAAAAAAAAAAAAGUUUGUUUUUUGUUUUUUUUCAAGACAGGGUUUCUCCGUGAAGUUUUGGUGCCUAUUCUGGAUCUCACUCCCUACACCAGGCUGGCCUCGAACUCACAGAGAUCCACCUGGCUCUGCCUCUUGAGUGCUGGGAUUUAAGGCAUGUGCCACCACCGCCACCACCACCUGGCUGAAAUAUUAUUUUUGAAGUCCAGAGAACAGCUGAAACAAGGUCAUUCUAAGGAAAGGUUAAAUCAGACUUCACAGGAGUGCCCAGAGACUACAAACUAUCUCCCUUACAACAAGCUUGUAAAUUUUUGCCAGGUGGUGACCAGCCUGAUCUACAGAGUGAGAUCCAGGACAACCAGUGCUACACACAGAGAAACCUUGUCUCGAGAAAAAAAAAAAAAAAGCUUGUAAAUUUUCAUCUCUUUGCAUGCACAAUUCAUGUGGGGCCUCCUUGUUCUAUGGCAGACAAUUCAGCAGCCCCGCCACCUGCUGCAGUGGCAGCAAAUAAGCUCCCACUACCAGCUGCUCCCAGAAAGCUGCCUGGCCAUUCCUUCUAUAGUGGAAGGGGUGGGGAAAGUUUGCUUUUACCUUAAAAACAUUCUGGCAGUACCUUUGGAUACAAAGGAUGGACGUGUUGCUUGCUAAUGAUACACAUUGAAGAGCUUUAAAAGUUUCAUAACCUGAGUCUCUUAAUUAAAAAAGUCUCAAAACUGAGGCUUAAUAAGCUGCCAGCCCUCAGUUGGUUAAUAAACAACAAACAAACAAUGGAGCCUACCAACAGUCUCAUUAACUGCCACAGGCUUUAAGUAAGUAAAUGAUAUGGGUCAGAAGAAAAACAAAAGUGUAGGGACUAUUUAUUACCACUAAUUUCAAAAUCCUUUGGUUUUAUUUUGACUCUUUAAAACUUUUUCAUAAGGUAUGAAUAUUGUGAUAUACUGUGUCCCCCAAUAUAUUGUGCACCCUAAUAAAGCUUAUCUGAGGAUCAGAGGAAAAAGCCAGCCACUAUAUUAAACAUAGAAGUCAGGCAAUGAUAGCACAUGCCUUUAAUCUUAGCAUUCUGGAGGCAGAGAUUCAUCUGGAUCUCUGUGAGUUCAAGGCCACAUUGGGGAACAGAGCCAGGCAUGGUAACACAAGCCUUUAAUCCAAGCACUGGGUGAGUAGAAAGAAAUAGAAUAAGAAGAGGUAGGGCAUGACCUGAUAGGGUUGGGCUUGAAUCUUGACAGAUGAGUGUGGCCUCAUUCUUCUAAGAUCGGAGGCAGGCUGUUUGAAUUUGGUAUCCUCUGAAACUUAAGAGGGCUAGGUCCUGUUGGGAUCAAAAGAUCAUCUUGAGUUGGUGGUAUAAAUGGCUUGAGAUGGGAAAGGUGAAUCCAAUGAGGGAUACCCUUAAGCUUAGCAGCAGUUGGGGACAGCCUGAAGGGGCCUGUCCAUUUUGGAACAAGAGCACGGGAAUUGUGUCCUAGAGGAGAGAGGAGAACCAGGUCCCCAAUGUUAAUUGGAGAGGGAAGAGGACCUGGGAGAGGCUGAGGCAAAUGAUGCUGGGAGAAUUUCCAAAGAAAGGUGCAGAGAUAGUGUAACAAAGGGAUAAGGAGAUGAUCUGGGAGAGGUGAUGGUUGAGACAUGAGACCAGGAGGCAUAAUCGGCCAUCCAUCCAUGAGCUCAAAAGGGGAGAUGAGGAGGGUUUGUUUUGUUUUGUUUUGAAGGGCCCUUAAUCGCAGGAGAACCAAUAGUAGGAGUUUUAUCCAAUCCGUAUGAAGCUCUUGGGAGAGUUUGGUAAGAAUGUUUUUGAGGGAACAAUUAGUUCGUUCAACUUUGCCUGAAGACUGGGGAUGGUAGGGAAUAUGGAAACUCCAUGGGAUAUUAAGGGCUUUAGCUAGAGUUUGAGAGACUUGAGAAGUGAAUUCAGGGUCAUUAUCUGAUUGAGGGAGGUUGGGAAGAUUGAGGGCUAGUAAGGUGAGGUUGUCUGUGGCUUUUCCUAUUCUUCUGAUCUCUCAGGUUUUAAGCCCAAAAUCUGGCUCCAGGUUUUGUUUUUUAUUAAUAAGACCAUUUAGCAAUUCAUCUACAGAAUAUUAUCUCAAAAUUUAUAUUAUUUAUAUAUAUAUAUAUUAAACUUUUUGUCAUAUUAAUGGUCAUAUAGAGUACUCACUAAUUCUAGAAAAAGGCUUUAUCUAGCUUCCUGUACAUGAUUUCAGGUUUGAGUCUCUAUCAGGUAACUAGGAAUUAAGUUUUUGUACUCUGGAUGUACAUAACAAAUAUUGAUCCUUUAACCUCUUCAAGAUCUGCUGCAUAUGACAUUUAAAAUGUUUAAAUU